GGCGGCACGCUUAACACAUGCAAGUCGAGCGGUAACAUGACUAGUAGCAAUACUAGUUGAUGACGAGCGGCGGACGGGUGAGUAACACGUAGGAACUUGCCCAAUAGAGGGGGACAACUAAGGGAAACUUUAGCUAAUACCGCAUAUUCUCGGAAGAGGAAAGCUGCCAGCAAUGGUGGCGCUAUUGGAGAGGCCUGCGUCUGAUUAGCUAGUUGGUGGGGUAAUAGCCCACCAAGGCGAUGAUCAGUAACUGGUCUGAGAGGACGACCAGUCACACUGGGACUGAGACACGGCCCAGACUCCUACGGGAGGCAGCAGUGGGGAAUCUUGGACAAUGGGGGCAACCCUGAUCCAGCGAUGCCGCGUGAGUGAAGAAGGCCUUCGGGUCGUAAAGCUCUUUAGGUCGGGAGGAAGGUUAGUCGUNUAAGAGAUAGCUAAUUUGACUGUACCGACAGAAUAAGCACCGGCAAACUCUGUGCCAGCAGCCGCGGUAAUACAGAGGGUGCGAGCGU
rnacentral:rRNA from 1 species